rnacentral:rRNA from 1 species
CGGCGGACGGGUGAGUAACACGUGGGCAACCUGCCCUGCAGAUCGGGAUAACUCCGGGAAACCGGUGCUAAUACCGAAUAGUUUGCGGCCUCUCAUGAGGCUGUAGAGAAAGACGGUUUCGGCUGUCACUGCAGGAUGGGCCCGCGGCGCAUUAGCUAGUUGGUGAGGUAACGGCUCACCAAGGCCACGAUGCGUGGCCGACCUGAGAGGGGGAUCGGCCACACUGGGACUGAUACACGGGCCAGACUCCUACGGGAGGCAUCAGUAGGGAAUCUUCCGCAAUGGACGAAAGUCUGACGGAGCAAUGCCGCGUGAGUGAAGAAGGUUUUCUGAUCGUAAAACUCUGUUGUGAGGGAAGAACAAGUACCAAUUAACUACUGGUACCUUGACGGUACCUCACCAGAAAGCCACGGCUAACUACGUGCCAUCCGGAAUUGCAAUACGUAAGUGGCUAGCGUUGUCCUGAAUUAUUGGGCGUAAAGCGCGCGCAGGUGGUCCUUUAAGUCUGAUGUGAAAGCCCACGGCUCAACCGUGGAGGGUCAUUGGAAACUGGGGGACUUGAGUGCAGAAUAGGAAAGUGGAAUUCCACGUGUAGCGGUGAAAUGCGUAGAGAUGUGGAGGAACACCACUGGCGAAAGCGACUUUCUGGUCUGUAACUGACACUGAGGCGCGAAAGCGUGGGGAGCAAACAGGAUUAGAUACCCUGGUAGUCCACGCUCGUACACGAUGAGUGCUAAGUGUUACGGGGUUUCCGC